UUGUCUUCCAUUUGGAUUUUUUCUUACCAGGCAGUGCCGCCUUUUCCAUAUGGGACAAAUGGGCAAAUGCCCGUGGCGCCCGAAGUGGAGCAGAAGUAAAUGGCGCCCGAGGUCCUUAAAAAAAAUUUAGCUUCACUAAAUUGGCGCCUAUUUUUCCAAUUGCCCGAUGGUGCCCAAAAGCUAAAAGCGACACUGCUUACCAGGCAGUGUAACGUUAAACACUCCGACGACGAAGAAACGGAAUUGUGUUUCUGUGUGUUCGAUGUGGUGUCGUGAUUUUUCUCCGACAAAAUGGUUUGUUUAAAUUUAGUAUUCGGAGGCAAAACAAAGUGUGUUUCGAAACCAAAUAAAUCAAUUCAGGCGAUCAAAGAUCGGUCAGUGUUUGUGAGUGAGUGAAAUUAACAAUUUGUUUGUUUGGAUAAUUUAUUUACGCAUCACCCGACAAACGAAACCCAUCGGAUUAACGGAGCUCCAGCAGCUGUUUCACCAACAAAACUUCAAUUGAAUAAUAGCCCGAAAGGAAAAUAUAGCAUUCCAAGCAACAUGGAUCUCACAAUCGACAACGACCAUCCAGCCGUCGCCAAGUCAUCCACAAAUUUCAUGAACAACAAAAGCCCGGAUUUGGUCCUGGUCGGUAAUACGCUACCAGGAAUAAUUGGUGAACAAUUCCCCCAUGAGCCUCCGUUCAUUUACCAACAAGAAAGUAUCGUUAACGACACAAUAUGUGUUUCAACGAAAGGACAUGGCCGCUUUUUCAUUCCAAUCGAGUUAAUUGAAGCAUUACUAGAAGAAAAAAAAAUGUUGGAAAAUAUCAAAUUGUGGCGGCACCAGGCAUAGCGCCAAUUAAGGACGAAUUGAACGUAGUCGAAGGAAAAAGUCCAUCGGAGGUUGGAUCGAAUCGUAUUAAGUACUAUCUUUGGUACUGGAAAAGUUUCAUUGAUGCAAUUGAGCCAGUUCAAAAAUUUAUACCGGAACACGGAAUACUGACGUUAAUGCCAGGAACAGUCUAUCAGAUUCGUCCAACUUGGCAAACUUUACAUAAAAUAACGCUUGAGCAAAUAAAUGCUGACAUUCAGAUUUGUCGAACACCGAUUUGUCAAUUGGAUGCAAACGACGAAUAAUUAGCCACUAGGUUUGAGGUCGGCGAAACAAUGAAUUACUUGAAAAUGUUUCGUGGAAGCGACAAUACUGGUGGGGGUCGAUUAUAUAUCAUUGACAAUUGUUUGCAAAGAGAUCGAAUCGACGAAGAAGAAAAUUCAAAGCUGGAAAAAUGUUACUAUGUGCAGAAUCCUUGGUCACCAGGAGUACCCGUCCGUCAACCAAGAGCCAAUAGUUCUCAUGGCACUAAAGUAUUUAAGAUUGCCGCUGCCUCAUCGAAUGCGAACGUAAAAAUUAAUUUUCUCGAAAUCGGCGACGAUGAAGACGAAAUCGAUAUACAUUGUUUGUCAAAUGCUCUAAUACGUAUUAUCUUGUUGUCAGUUUUACGAUAAAAGUUGCCUCAGAUUCGUAAGUAAAAUUAAGUAUACGUAGAGGAUAGUAGUCCAAAAUAGUAUUUUUCGUUACGACGGAUGAAAAGUGGAAUUUUUCAGGACUAGUCGUAAGCUUACGACGUGUCCUGAAAAAUUCUGCUUUCAUCACGAGUUACGAACUACGGUUUUUUGUGCCGUAACGAUCAUAAUGAGACGAAACCACAACAACAUAAACAAAGAUAUCACUCUACAAACUCUACAACAAUUUCAUCAACUAUCAUGCACACUCGAUUGCGUCCGAAAAAGUAUAUAUGAAAUUCCAUUGUCAACCGGAGAGAGCGUCCGUGAAAGUUACUUUUACGGCCGCAAAUACGUCUCUCUGAGAAGUACUGAAUAAUUGAACUUUUCGAUCGUAGGUGCAGUGCUGAAAUACGUCGAAUUAUGAUCGUAAGGCACAAAAAAGCACUAUCACUUACUUGGGUCCCCAUUAUGAUUCUCAAAAUAAAAAUUAAAAUGAAUUCUGACGAGAAAUGAAGAUUGACGAGAGGUGUAUAUUUUUAAGUUUCGUGAAACGAAAUUUCGCGAACACAUUUUUUCCAAAAAUGUGCUUUCUCGACGUUUCAGAAGGUCCUCCAUCCGAAUCUGCAAUAAAAAAUUUUGACCGCGAAAUUGCGAAAUUGUUACACAGCAUUCUCUGUUCGUCGCCAUAGUUACGAGGUGGCUGGGCGAUAUUAUCGUCCAGAACGAAA